rnacentral:rRNA from 1 species
UGGGGAAUAUUGCACAAUGGGGGGAACCCUGAUGCAGCGACGCCGCGUGAAGGAAGAAGUAUCUCGGUAUGUAAACUUCUAUCAGCAGGGAAGACAAUGACGGUACCUGACUAAGAAGCCCCGGCUAACUACGUGCC